ACGAACGCUGGCGGCGUGCUUAACACAUGCCAGUCGAACGGAAAGGCCCUGCUUUUGUGGGGUGCUCGAGUGGCGAACGGGUGAGUAACACGUGAGUAACCUGCCCUUGACUUUGGGAUAACUUCAGGAAACUGGGGCUAAUACCGGAUAGGAGCUCCUGCUGCAUGGUGGGGGUUGGAAAGUUUCGGCGGUUGGGGAUGGACUCGCGGCUUAUCAGCUUGUUGGUGGGGUAGUGGCUUACCAAGGCUUUGACGGGUAGCCGGCCUGAGAGGGUGACCAGCCACAUUGGGACUGAGAUACGGCCCAGACUCCUACGGGAGGCAGCAGUGGAGAAUAUUGCACAAUGAGCGGAAGCCUGAUGCAGCAACGCCGCGUGCGGGAUGACGGCCUUCGGGUUGUAAACCGCUUUCGCCUGUGACGAAGCGUGAGUGACGGUAAUGGGUAAAGAAGCACCGGCUAACUACGUG
rnacentral:rRNA from 1 species